AGCAGUAUAAUGUAAUUGGUAACAUCUAAAGCUCAUGACUUUAUAAUGGUAGUUCAAAUCUAUCUACUGCAU
rnacentral:tRNA from 8 species